UACGUAGGGUGCGAGCGUUGGUCCGGAAUUACUGGGCGUAAAGAGCUCGUAGGUGGUUUGUCGCGUUGUUCGUGAAAACUCACAGCUCAACUGUGGGCGUGCGGGCGAUACGGGCAGACUGGAGUACUGCAGGGGAGACUGGAAUUCCUGGUGUAGCGGUGGAAUGCGCAGAUAAUCAGGAGGAACACCGGUGGCGAAGGCGGGUCUCUGGGCAGUAACUGACGCUGAGGAGCGAAAGCGUGGGGAGCGAACAGG
rnacentral:rRNA from 1 species